GCAGUGGGUUCUGCAGGGUGGGAUGUGGGUGACUCCUCCCUGCCCUGCUGGUGCGUGUGCACCCUGGCAGGGUGUGGAGUUGGGACACACACGUGUGUAGGGCUGGUUGCGUCACUGCGUGGGGGCACCGGAGGCCCAGAGGAGGAGUACUGGAUGCCUGACGGUGUUUACACCCCACGUCCUGCUCCAACCAGAAGUUUGGGGAGAGGUUGUUGUUCAUGUCCAUUCCGGCCCCACUGUGUGUGUGUGUGUGUGUGUGUGUGUGUGUGUGUGUAUCCCUGCCCCAGCAUGUGUUUUCUAUCUCUAAGGCCCACUGGGCUGGGCCUCAUGUCACUUGCCUGACAUCCGAUUGUGAAAGAUGUCACCCAGAGGCGGGCAGAGGGGCUGUCUUUUCCUUUUCUCGUUGCUGCCCAGGGAGGAGACGGGGUGGCCUUUCCCACAGGGGCAGCCUGUGGCGAUGUGGCAGCUGGGCCUCACCCCGGCAGGGCUGUGCGUGACCCCCUGAGUGGGGGAAGGCAGGCUGUUGCCAUGGUGGCCUGAGCGAGCAGAAUUCCUCCAGGGUGAAGUGGGAGAUAUUUAUACCCGGGGUCAGGCCGCGAGCGGGCGGGCGGAGAGGGCAGGGAGCUGGGAUUUCGCGGGGCACAGUGAGGCCGGGCAUGUAGGCAGGUGGGACUUGGGCUUGCCCUGCUGUCUCCUGCUCCGUGUUUGUGUGAGGCAGCGCCUCCUCUGCCCUGCCAGGCUGGGGAUACCCGUUUCUCUAGCUUGGAGCCACCAAGAUAGAGGACGAACACUUCUGUGAUUCAGUCCCCAGACUGUCUCUGACUU
rnacentral:lncRNA from 1 species